rnacentral:rRNA from 1 species
AUGGCAAGUCGAACGCGUUGGCCCAAUUGAUUGAUGGUGCUUGCACCUGAUUGAUUUUGGUCGCCAACGAGUGGCGGACGGGUGAAUGACUUGUAACUAACCUGCCCAGAAGCGGGGGACAACAUUUGUAAACAGAUGCUAAUACCGCAUAACAACGUUGUUCGCAUGAACAACGCUUAAAAGAUGGCUUCUCGCUAUCACUUCUGGAUGGACCUGCGGUGCAUUAGCUUGCUGGGGGG